GCGGCGGUAGUUCAAUUUGGUUAGAGCACCAGCCUGUCACGUUGGAAGUUGCGGGUUCAAGUCCCGUCCGCCGCGCCA
rnacentral:tRNA from 1 species